UUUUUCACGUAUUAAUUCGAGAUCAAUAUCAAAUUUAGAUUGAGUGUCUGCUUGUGUUUAAAACUAUUUAUAUUUGAGUAUACUCUCAAAUAUGAGAUGCAAUAAGGGAUUCUUCAGAAGAAUUGUGGCCUCAUGAAACAAAGUCUGAAACAACUUUGUCAUCAAGAAUUGAUACAACUGACUAAGAUAGCUUUGACAAUGUUAUUGAAAGUGAUUCAUUGUUUUCUGCAUUAUUCUCAGGUAGUUACGACAGAAGAACUUACAUCCCAGUUCUUGAUCUUAAGAAAACUAUGGAGCGACACAUCGUGUUUAUCUUUUGUAAAGGAAAACGUCCGGAAGGUAAUAAAUUGCAAG